CCUACGGGAGGCAGCAGUGGGGAAUUUUGGACAAUGGGCGCAAGCCUGAUCCAGCAAUGCCGCGUGAGUGAAGAAGGCCUUCGGGUUGUAAAGCUCUUUUGUCAGGGAAGAAACGGUCUUGGAUAAUACCUGGGGCUAAUGACGGUACCUGAAGAAUAAGCACCGGCUAACUACGUGCCAGCAGCCGCGGUAAUACGUAGGGUGCAAGCGUUAAUCGGAAUUACUGGGCGUAAAGCGUGCGCAGGCGGUUGUGUAAGACAGGUGUGAAAUCCCCGGGCUUAACCUGGGAAUGGCAUUUGUGACUGCACGGCUAGAGUGUGUCAGAGGGGGGUAGAAUUCCACGUGUAGCAGUGAAAUGCGUAGAGAUGUGGAGGAAUACCGAUGGCGAAGGCAGCCCCCUGGGAUAACACUGACGCUCAUGCACGAACGACGGUGGGGAGGACGAAACGAAGGAGUAGUAUACCUACGGUAGUACCGACCGACCCGUAACCGAACUAGUCUACUAGUUGUUCGGUUCGUUA
rnacentral:rRNA from 1 species